ACACCGUUGGUGAAGUGGUUAUCAUGCUUGCCUUCCAUCCUAUAUUUCAUGUGAGCAAGCGGCUCGGGUUCGAUUCCCGAACGGUGUA